AAGUCAAUGAAAGAAAAAGAGAACAACGAACAAACGAAACCAAACGACUUUGUUGCUAACAAACACUUCUACUUCUAUGCUUCUACUAUACUUCCUGCUACUUUCUUGCUUUACUUGAUAAUUUAAUUGCCUUUUUUCUUUUGUUUG
rnacentral:ribozyme from 12 species